GGUUAAGCGACUAAGCGUACACGGUGGAUGCCCUGGCAGUCAGAGGCGAUGAAGGACGUGCUAAUCUGCGAUAAGCGUCGGUAAGGUGAUAUGAACCGUUAUAACCGGCGAUUUCCGAAUGGGGAAACCCAGUGUGUUUCGACACACUAUCAUUAACUGAAUCCAUAGGUUAAUGAGGCGAACCGGGGGAACUGAAACAUCUAAGUACCCCGAGGAAAAGAAAUCAACCGAGAUUCCCCCAGUAGCGGCGAGCGAACGGGGAGCAGCCCAGAGCCUGAAUCAGUGUGUGUGUUAGUGGAAGCGUCUGGAAAGGCGCGCGAUACAGGGUGACAGCCCCGUACACAAAAAUGCACAUGCUGUAAGCUCGAUGAGUAGGGCGGGACACGUGGUAUCCUGUCUGAAUAUGGGGGGACCAUCCUCCAAGGCUAAAUACUCCUGACUGACCGAUAGUGAACCAGUACCGUGAGGGAAAGGCGAAAAGAACCCCGGCGAGGGGAGUGAAAAAGAACCUGAAACCGUGUACGUACAAGCAGUGGGAGCACGCUUAGGCGUGUGACUGCGUACCUUUUGUAUAAUGGGUCAGCGACUUAUAUUCUGUAGCAAGGUUAACCGAAUAGGGGAGCCGAAGGGAAACCGAGUCUUAACUGGGCGUUAAGUUGCAGGGUAUAGACCCGAAACCCGGUGAUCUAGCCAUGGGCAGGUUGAAGGUUGGGUAACACUAACUGGAGGACCGAACCGACUAAUGUUGAAAAAUUAGCGGAUGACUUGUGGCUGGGGGUGAAAGGCCAAUCAAACCGGGAGAUAGCUGGUUCUCCCCGAAAGCUAUUUAGGUAGCGCCUCGUGAAUUCAUCUCCGGGGGUAGAGCACUGUUUCGGCAAGGGGGUCAUCCCGACUUACCAACCCGAUGCAAACUGCGAAUACCGGAGAAUGUUAUCACGGGAGACACACGGCGGGUGCUAACGUCCGUCGUGAAGAGGGAAACAACCCAGACCGCCAGCUAAGGUCCCAAAGUCAUGGUUAAGUGGGAAACGAUGUGGGAAGGCCCAGACAGCCAGGAUGUUGGCUUAGAAGCAGCCAUCAUUUAAAGAAAGCGUAAUAGCUCACUGGUCGAGUCGGCCUGCGCGGAAGAUGUAACGGGGCUAAACCAUGCACCGAAGCUGCGGCAGCGACACUAUGUGUUGUUGGGUAGGGGAGCGUUCUGUAAGCCUGUGAAGGUGUACUGUGAGGUAUGCUGGAGGUAUCAGAAGUGCGAAUGCUGACAUAAGUAACGAUAAAGCGGGUGAAAAGCCCGCUCGCCGGAAGACCAAGGGUUCCUGUCCAACGUUAAUCGGGGCAGGGUGAGUCGACCCCUAAGGCGAGGCCGAAAGGCGUAGUCGAUGGGAAACAGGUUAAUAUUCCUGUACUUGGUGUUACUGCGAAGGGGGGACGGAGAAGGCUAUGUUGGCCGGGCGACGGUUGUCCCGGUUUAAGCGUGUAGGCUGGUUUUCCAGGCAAAUCCGGAAAACUAAGGCUGAGGCGUGAUGACGAGGCACUACGGUGCUGAAGCAACAAAUGCCCUGCUUCCAGGAAAAGCCUCUAAGCAUCAGGUAACAUCAAAUCGUACCCCAAACCGACACAGGUGGUCAGGUAGAGAAUACCAAGGCGCUUGAGAGAACUCGGGUGAAGGAACUAGGCAAAAUGGUGCCGUAACUUCGGGAGAAGGCACGCUGAUAUGUAGGUGAAGUCCCUCGCGGAUGGAGCUGAAAUCAGUCGAAGAUACCAGCUGGCUGCAACUGUUUAUUAAAAACACAGCACUGUGCAAACACGAAAGUGGACGUAUACGGUGUGACGCCUGCCCGGUGCCGGAAGGUUAAUUGAUGGGGUUAGCGCAAGCGAAGCUCUUGAUCGAAGCCCCGGUAAACGGCGGCCGUAACUAUAACGGUCCUAAGGUAGCGAAAUUCCUUGUCGGGUAAGUUCCGACCUGCACGAAUGGCGUAAUGAUGGCCAGGCUGUCUCCACCCGAGACUCAGUGAAAUUGAACUCGCUGUGAAGAUGCAGUGUACCCGCGGCAAGACGGAAAGACCCCGUGAACCUUUACUAUAGCUUGACACUGAACAUUGAGCCUUGAUG
rnacentral:rRNA from 1 species